CGGACUUCUUGAAUAUCUUGCAAUGUUACGUCGGGGAAAUUUUUUUAUAACAUCCGGGUUGGUAUUUAUUGUUUCAAAAAACAGCUGCUGGUUUUUUCUGGUAUCUCCCUCCAUAGCACACUGUUCCAAUUUUAAGUUUUCGUCCAUUCCUACGGUAAGAAACAUUUCUGAUUCUUGAGAAAUUUGGUAGUUGUUCUCUUUUUCUAAUAUCCAUCUAGUUGAUUCUUCUGAACAGGUUGCAGCAAAUACGUAGUCGUUUGUGGUUUCCGUGAUGCAAAUAUUAGGGUUUUGCACACGUAUUAUUUGAUCGACAAUGUAUUCAAAUUUCGAUCCUGGUGGGAGAGGGUAAUCCUUUGAAACUUGACUGUACGUUAUUAAAGGAUUUCUGCUUCCAGACUCUUCCCCAGGCAUAUGAAAUGCUGCAGAGGCAGGUCUCAAGUUGUUUGUCUCCGAUUUGGGCGUUGAAAAGAAUGUGGAUUUUUUGAAGAAGAGAGCUUUGUGACCUGGACUUAUACGGUUCUCUGUAGUCUUCGCAUCUGGUGUAGUGUUGCAAGUACUACCCUCUAUUGUCGCAUUUUAUAACUAUAAAUGUUUCCCCUUCUGUCUAAUUUGUAUUACCACCCCUAGAUGAUUGGUCGAUCUGGAGUCGACCAUAAGUCUCUCUAAAACUUAGAGAGGGGAUUCGGGAUUUGGCCCGACGUCCGACAGGACGUUAAGAGGUGGCUUUGCUUGAAGCUGGCUAGCCUCGCGUAAGUCCUUAAAGAAGGAGCCUUGUGUAAACUGGCUACCCUUCGCGUAUUCUGUUGUAAAUAGUAACUUCUGUAUUAUUUGGGAUGAAUGUUUGUUGUAAGCUUUGUGCCCGAGCUUGUGCCAAUAAAGAAACUGUAACAUUUG